rnacentral:lncRNA from 1 species
AUGUUGCAAGUCUUGCUCAAAUGUUGUAAAUUAAGUCAGCUGUGCUACAGCACUGAAGCCAGGGAGGACUCCACUCUGCUUUGCACAAAGUUGCAACUGGAGGAAAAUGAGGAAAAAUGCUUCCUUGCUACUCUGCAAGCCUGCAUCUAUUUAAGCCAAGCAUAUUGUGGUAACUCAAGCUGGAAGAAGAACACUGAACUAGAAAAAUAUUUGUUCUAACCAUGUAUGGUCAGAAACACCU